rnacentral:rRNA from 3 species
AGAGUUUGAUCAUGGCUCAGAUUGAACGCUGGCGGCAGGCCUAACACAUGCAAGUCGAACGGUAACAGGAAGCAGCUUGCUGCUUUGCUGACGAGUGGCGGACGGGUGAGUAAUGUCUGGGAAACUGCCCGAUGGAGGGGGAUAACUACUGGAAACGGUAGCUAAUACCGCAUAACGUCGCAAGACCAAAGAGGGGGACCUUAGGGCCUCUUGCCAUCGGAUGUGCCCAGAUGGGAUUAGCUAGUAGGUGGGGUAAUGGCUCACCUAGGCGACGAUCCCUAGCUGGUCUGAGAGGAUGACCAGCCACACUGGAACUGAGACACGGUCCAGACUCCUACGGGAGGCAGCAGUGGGGAAUAUUGCACAAUGGGCGCAAGCCUGAUGCAGCCAUGCCGCGUGUAUGAAGAAGGCCUUCGGGUUGUAAAGUACUUUCAGCGGGGAGGAAGGGAGUAAAGUUAAUACCUUUGCUCAUUGACGUUACCCGCAGAAGAAGCACCGGCUAACUCCGUGCCAGCAGCCGCGGUAAUACGGAGGGUGCAAGCGUUAAUCGGAAUUACUGGGCGUAAAGCGCACGCAGGCGGUUUGUUAAGUCAGAUGUGAAAUCCCCGGGCUCAACCUGGGAACUGCAUCUGAUACUGGCAAGCUUGAGUCUCGUAGAGGGGGGUAGAAUUCCAGGUGUAGCGGUGAAAUGCGUAGAGAUCUGGAGGAAUACCGGUGGCGAAGGCGGCCCCCUGGACGAAGACUGACGCUCAGGUGCGAAAGCGUGGGGAGCAAACAGGAUUAGAUACCCUGGUAGUCCACGCCGUAAACGAUGUCGACUUGGAGGUUGUGCCCUUGAGGCGUGGCUUCCGGAGCUAACGCGUUAAGUCGACCGCCUGGGGAGUACGGCCGCAAGGUUAAAACUCAAAUGAAUUGACGGGGGCCCGCACAAGCGGUGGAGCAUGUGGUUUAAUUCGAUGCAACGCGAAGAACCUUACCUGGUCUUGACAUCCACGGAAGUUUUCAGAGAUGAGAAUGUGCCUUCGGGAACCGUGAGACAGGUGCUGCAUGGCUGUCGUCAGCUCGUGUUGUGAAAUGUUGGGUUAAGUCCCGCAACGAGCGCAACCCUUAUCCUUUGUUGCCAGCGGUCCGGCCGGGAACUCAAAGGAGACUGCCAGUGAUAAACUGGAGGAAGGUGGGGAUGACGUCAAGUCAUCAUGGCCCUUACGACCAGGGCUACACACGUGCUACAAUGGCGCAUACAAAGAGAAGCGACCUCGCGAGAGCAAGCGGACCUCAUAAAGUGCGUCGUAGUCCGGAUUGGAGUCUGCAACUCGACUCCAUGAAGUCGGAAUCGCUAGUAAUCGUGGAUCAGAAUGCCACGGUGAAUACGUUCCCGGGCCUUGUACACACCGCCCGUCACACCAUGGGAGUGGGUUGCAAAAGAAGUAGGUAGCUUAACCUUCGGGAGGGCGCUUACCACUUUGUGAUUCAUGACUGGGGUGAAGUCGUAACAAGGUAACCGUAGGGGAACCUGCGGUUG